UAGGGACGAGCCUAUCUAGAUCAAUAUACUCCAACUCUUACCGAACUCGAGCGGGUUGUCUAGAAAGCCACCCGCAUGCUAGUUUUUCAUGGGAACCAUGGCUCA
rnacentral:rRNA from 1 species